rnacentral:rRNA from 1 species
UACGUAGGUGACAAGCGUUGUCCGGAUUUACUGGGCGUAAAGAGCGCGCAGGCGGUCGAUCAAGUCGAGUGUGAAAGCCCCCGGCUCAACUGGGGAGGGUCAUUCGAUACUGAUCGACUCGAAGGCAGGAGAGGGUAGUGGAAUUCCCGGUGUAGUGGUGAAAUGCGUUGAUAUCGGGAGGAACACCAGUGGCGAAGGCGACUACCUGGCCUGUUCUUGACGCUGAGGCGCGAAAGCUAGGGGAGCAAACGGG